rnacentral:rRNA from 1 species
CGCUGGCGGCGUGGAUAGGGCAUGCAAGUCGCGCGAUCUGGGGCGGCCGCAAGGUGCUCCAGAUAGCGGCAAACGGGUGCGUAACGCGUGGGGAACUUACCCCGAAGCGCGGGAUAACAUCGCGAAAGCGGUGUUAAUACCGCAUAUACCCAUGAGGUCACAUGGUCUUAUGGGGAAAGAUGGCCUAGACCGUAAGGUUGCUAUUGCUUUGGGAGAGCCCCGCGUCCCAUCAGCUUGUUGGUAGGGUAACGGCCUACCAAGGCAUUUGACGGGUAGCUGGCUUGAGAGAGUGGUCAGCCACACUGGGACUGAGACACUGCCCAGACUCCUACGGGAGGCUGCAGUCGAGGAUCUUUGGCAAUGGGCGAAAGCCUGACCAUGCGACGCCGCGUGCGGGAUGAAGGCCUUCGGGUCGUAAACCGCUGUCACGAGGGAUGAAGACUUACUGGACAAAUAAUCCGGUGAGUUUGACGGUACCUCGAGAGGAAGCCACGGCUAACUCCGUGCCAGCAGCCGCGGUGAUACGGAGGUGGCAAGCGUUGCUCGGAUUCACUGGGUGUAAAGGGCAAGUAGGCGGCCCUGUAAGUCGGGUGUGAAAUCCCACGGCUCAACCGUGGAACUGCGCCCGAAACUAUAGGGCUUGAGGAUGGGAGAGGCGAACGGAAUUCCCGGUGUAAGGGUGAAAUCUGUAGAUAUCGGGAGGAACACCAGUGGCGAAGGCGGUUCGCUGGCCCGUUUCUGACGCUGAGAGGCGAAAGCUAGGGUAGCAAACAGGAUUAGAUACCCUGGUAGUCCUAGCCGUAAACGAUGAGCACUAGGUGUUGGGUUCCUUUUGGGACUCAGUGCCGUAGGUAACCUGUUAAGUGCUCCACCUGGGGAGUACGGCCGCAA